AUACGAAAGGUGCAAGCGUUGUUCGGAUUUACUGGGCGUAAAGAGAGUGUAGGUGGUUUAUUAAGUCGGAUGUGAAAUCCCGGGGCUCAACCUCGGAACUGCAUUCGAUACUGAUAGGCUAGAGUUCGGGAGGGGUAAGCGGAAUUCCGUGUGUAGCAGUGAAAUGCGUAGAUAUACGGAGGAACACCUGAGGCGAAGGCGGCUUACUGGACCAAUACUGACACUGAGACUCGAAAGCGUGGGUAGCAAACAGAAUUAGAAACCCCAGUAGUCC
rnacentral:rRNA from 1 species